GCGGGCGUGGCGGAAUUGGCAGACGCACCAGAUUUAGGUUCUGGCGAGGUGACUCGUGAAGGUUCAAGUCCUUUCGCCCGCACCA
rnacentral:tRNA from 2 species